rnacentral:rRNA from 1 species
CAAUAGCGUAUAUUAAAGUUGUUGCAGUUAAAAAGCUCGUAGUUGAAUUUCGGGUCCCCGCGCUCGGCGCUUCAUUGUGCCGUCGUGGUGUCCCUCCUCGCCGUAAGGCGUCCUUUACUGUGAAAAAAUUAGAGUGUUCAAAGCAGGCAAUCGCUUGAAUACAUUAGCAUGGAAUAAUAAGAUAGGAUCUUGUCUAUUUUGUUGGUUGCGGACAACGAUAAUGAUUAAUAGGGAUAGUUGGGGGUGUCCGUAUUGAGCUGUCAGAGGUGAAAUUCUUGGAUUUGCUCAGGACGAACUACUGCGAAAGCAUUCACCAAGGAUGUUUUCAUUAA